UCUAAUGUGCACGGACGAAAAAACGUUCCCAGAACGUAUUUUUUUCUCUUGCCAAAAAGUACGUGGUGUGUGUGGUUGGUGAUUUAAUCAAAACGAAAGAAAAGAAAAGAAGAAAAGACUUCAGGAAGCUAUGGUAUCUGAUACUAAACUCUAUCUACUAUCAGAUACUUGAAUCCUCUAGAAGAUAUGAAUAACUAGCUACAGCUAAAAUGUAGAGAAUUUUCAUUUCAAGUACAGGAUUCAUUUUCCAACGACAACAGCGUCAUCCAUUAUUUUCCUCAAUGCAUUGGUAAUGCUGGAUUUGGUGGACCUUUUGUCCAGAUUUGUUGCUGUAAUUUCAAUUAGGAAAGAAAUUAUUAGAAAAACAAUUAUAAUUGUA